AACGCACAUUGCGCCCCUUGGUAUUCCGGGGGGCAUGCCCGUUCGAGCGUCAUUUCACCCCCCGAGCCUCGCUCGGUGUUGGGCCCCGGGGCGACCCGGACCCCAAUGUCCGCCGGCCGGACGACCCGGACCCCAGCGUUGUGGCAUCAAUUCGCUGGCGGGAGGGGGCGACCGCGCCGUUCGAACCCCACUGAAGGUUGACCUCGGAUCGGGUAGGGAUACCCGCUGAACUUAA
rnacentral:misc_RNA from 1 species